CGCGUAGGCGGCUUGGUAAGUCGGAUGUGAAAACCCGAGGCUCAACCUCGGGCGUGCAUCCGAUACUGCCCGGCUAGAGGUAGGUAGGGGAGAUCGGAAUUCCUGGUGUAGCGGUGAAAUGCGCAGAUAUCAGGAGGAACACCGGUGGCGAAGGCGGAUCUCUGGGCCUUACCUGACGCUCAGGCGCGAAAGAGGGAGGCGGAAC
rnacentral:rRNA from 1 species